CUUCCCUCAAGGAGUUCACAGUCUAAGUGGGGAGACAACAUGCAAGCAAUUUUUUAAAAAAUAAACUAGCUAUACACAGUGUAAACUGGAAACAAUCAACAGAGGGAAGGCAUUAGAAUGAAGGGGGAUUCAGAAAGUCUUCCUGUAGAAGGUGAGAUUUUAGCUAGGAGUUGAAGGAAGCCAGGGGAGUCAGGAGACAGAUGAAAAAGGAGAGUAUUUCAGUUCUGGAGGACAGCUAGUGACUUUGAAUCCCCAGACACAUUUAAAAAUGUGUUCUGCCAGCUAUGGCUUUUUACCGUUCUUAAUUAUUCAGUUGUAUUCUGCUUGGGUGAAAGGCAAGCUGGUGAGACUGUGGUGAUUCUGUCCUUUCUAGCAACAUGAUUUAGUUUUUAUCAUGCUCUGUUUCUUCCUAUAAUCAUUAAGUCAGUCUAAUGCAGCCACACAGCAGCCAGCCUGGUUUUCCCUGGGGCAGAGGAUCUAAUGUCAGCACAGCAAAAUACAAUUCAUAUUGAGUUGGAUGCAUUAAAUCUUUUUACUCAGGGUCUUGUCAAGAAAAACCAAUCUGUCUGCUGUCCAAUGUCCUGAGAACACCCUUGCCCAAGCAGGUGCGUGUGUGCACUGAUCACAGAAGGGACCAGCAUCUACUGCUCGAAUAUGAUUGUCAAGAUGGAGGUGCAUGUGUGUGUCACCCAUUGGCCUGAGGGAGCAGCUGCACACUAACAAAGAGCUCAUUUUGAUCCCUUUCCUGAUUCAACCGAUGGGUUUCUAUCAGUGGGUCAUCAUUCAAGACAGAGGAGCUAUCCCACGGAUGACUCGUUGUUAAGUGCCACCUGUAUGGGGACCAACAUAAGGAAUAAUGAUGGCAC
rnacentral:lncRNA from 1 species